rnacentral:rRNA from 1 species
UACGAAGGGGGCUAGCGUUGCUCGGAAUCACUGGGCGUAAAGCGCACGUAGGCGGAUUGCUAAGUCAGGGGUGAAAUCCUGGAGCUCAACUCCAGAACUGCCUUUGAUACUGGCGAUCUCGAGUCCGGGAGAGGUGAGUGGAACUGCGAGUGUAGAGGUGAAAUUCGUAGAUAUUCGCAAGAACGCCAGUGGCGAAGGCGGCUCACUGGCCCGGUACUGACGCUGAGGUGCGAAAGCGUGGGGAGCAAACA